rnacentral:rRNA from 1 species
AACGAACGCUGGCGGCAUGCCUAACACAUGCAAGUCGAACGAGACCUUCGGGUAUAGUGGCGCACGGGUGCGUAACGCGUGGGAACCUGCCCUUAGGUUCGGAAUAACUCCCCGAAAGGGGUGCUAAUACCGGAUAAUGUCUUCGGACCAAAGAUUUAUCGCCUUUGGAUGGGCCCGCGUUGGAUUAGCUAGUUGGUAGGGUAAAAGCCUACCAAGGCGACGAUCCAUAGCUGGUCUGAGAGGAUGAUCAGCCACACUGGGACUGAGACACGGCCCAGACUCCUACGGGAGGCAGCAGUGGGGAAUAUUGGACAAUGGGCGAAAGCCUGAACCAGCAAUGCCGCGUGAGUGAUGAAGGCCUUAGGGUUGUAAAGCUCUUUUACCCGGGAUGAUAAUGACAGUACCGGGAGAAUAAGCUCCGGCUAACUCCGUG